UGGGGAAUAUUGCACAAUGGGGGAAACCCUGAUGCAGCGACGCCGCGUGAGCGAAGAAGUAUUUCGGUAUGUAAAGCUCUAUCAGCAGGGAAGAAAAUGACGGUACCUGACUAAGAAGCCCCGGCUAACUACGUGCCAGCAGCCGCGGUAAUACGUAGGGGGCAAGCGUUAUCCGGAUUUACUGGGUGUAAAGGGAGCGUAGACGGUGUGGCAAGUCUGAUGUGAAAGGCAUGGGCUCAACCUGUGGACUGCAUUGGAAACUGUCAUACUUGAGUGCCGGAGGGGUAAGCGGAAUUCCUAGUGUAGCGGUGAAAUGCGUAGAUAUUGGGAGGAACACCAGUGGCGAAGGCGGCUUACUGGACGAUGACUGACGUUGAGGCUCGAAAGCGUGGGGAGCAAACAGG
rnacentral:rRNA from 1 species